rnacentral:rRNA from 1 species
UACGAAGGGGGCUAGCGUUACUCGGAAUUACUGGGCGUAAAGCGUGCGUAGGCGGCUUAGUAAGUUGGAAGUGAAAUCCUGGAGCUCAACUCCAGAAUUGCUUUCAAAACUGCUUGGCUAGAGUAUCAGAGAGGAUAGCGGAAUUCCUAGUGUAGAGGUGAAAUUCGUAGAUAUUAGGAGGAACACCGGAAGCGAAAGCGGCUAUCUGGCUGGUUACUGAUGCUGUUGCACGAAAGCGUGGGGAGCAAACAGG